rnacentral:lncRNA from 1 species
ACGGCUCCACAAAGAUGGGCGGCAAGAAGAAACAUCCUGCCAUCGAUAAGGUGACCCGAGGGUACACCAGCAACAUUCAGAAGCACAUCCAUGGAGUGGGCUUCAAGAAGCAUGGCCCUCAGGCACUCAAAGAGAUCCAGAAAUUUGCCAUGAAGGAGAUGGGAAUUCUAGAUGUGCGCAUUGACACCAGGCAAAACAAAGCUGUCUGGAACAAAGGAACAAGCAAUAUCUCAUAGGAUCCCAUAUGUGGUUUUCCAGAAAACAUGAUGAGGCUGAACAUUCACCAAACAAGCUCUAUACAUUGAUUACCUAUGUGUCUGUCACCACUUUCAAAAAUCUGUCGAAAGUCAGUGUGGACAAGAACUAA